AUGUUGGGAGGAGGAGGAAUCGAAGUUUGGUCGCAUGAUGGGUGUGAAUUGUGUAGUUGGCCUAUUAUAAAUUUGUGGUUGUUGAGAUUCAUAAAUGUAAUUUGGUUGGGAGUGAGAUUACGGGAUAAUGGGGGAUGGGUGUUUGAUGUUGGGAAAAGUGAGGAGUUUGUUGUUGGAAGGAUUGAGGAUGAGGAGGUUGAGAAUGUUGUGAGUGGUGAGGUUGUUGAGAGUCACUUGCCUGAGUAG